CGUACACUCCUACGGGAGGCAGCAGAGGGGAAUUUUGGACAAUGGGCGAAAGCCUGAUCCAGCAAUGCCGCGUGCAGGAUGAAGGCCUUCGGGUUGUAAACUGCUUUUGUACGGAACGAAAAAGCUCCUUCUAAUACAGGGGGCCCAUGACGGUACCGUAAGAAUAAGCACCGGCUAACUACGUGCCAGCAGCCGCGGUAAUACGUAGGGUGCGAGCGUUAAUCGGAAUUACUGGGCGUAAAGCGUGCGCAGGCGGUUAUGUAAGACAGAUGUGAAAUCCCCGGGCUCAACCUGGGAACUGCAUUUGUGACUGCAUGUCUAGAGUACGGUAGAGGGGGAUGGAAUUCCGCGUGUAGCAGUGAAAUGCGUAGAUAUGCGGAGGAACACCGAUGGCGAAGGCAAUCCCCUGGACCUGUACUGACGCUCAUGCACGAAAGCGUGGGGAGCAAACAGGUUUAGAACCCCAGUAGUCCC
rnacentral:rRNA from 1 species